ACGCCCGGGCCCUCCCACUCUGCCUCCAACCCCAGAGCGUGGACGCAAGGGGAGGAGAGGUGAGGAAUCAGGGGUCCUACGCAGCUGCCGCCCCUGGCCCCCUCUCUUCACAAUUCCCGUUCGCACGAGUUGCGCGGUCUCCAGUCUUCCUCGGGCUGCGUGUGGAGGUGCGGACGGGGUGAAGGAGAGGAGCUGCCUUCACUCGGGAGGAAGAGAGAGGCGAGCGAGGAGGGAAGGCAGGCAGGGGCGCCCGGUGACCGCACAGGGCUCCGCACCCCGCUCCCCGCCACCCUCUCCGGCUCCGGCUGCGGGGUCGACCGCGGCGAAGGACGCAGCCCUGGGGUUGGGGUUCAGCAGCCACUCACCAAAGCACCAAGAGCCCAGCAGCAGCGUCGCCGCCAAGGGCCACAUCUCCGCGCCGGCCCUGUGGGUUCCGCAGCCAAGGGUGUCGAGCAGCCGCCGCCUCCGAUACCGUUGCGGGCGGAUCCGGCACGCGCGCUCCCCAGCCCCCUCGGGCUCUGGUGCCGAUCUGCGCCCUCCGCGGGCCUCCCGCCCAAGUCCCGCCGUCCUCGCUCUCCCACGGCUCCAUACGCCACAGCGGGCUGAGCCCUUAUCCCCAGCUCAUGGGGGUCCCCGCUGCCCUCCGCUCUGCGGCUUCUUCCGCCUCCACAGAGCCCGGGCCCCACAGUCCCCGCCGCGCCUUCGCUCUGCCGCGAUCCAGGCCCCGCCAGGCUUCGCUCCGCCGACCUCGGAGUCCCCGCUACGCGCCGCCCGGCCUCCCUCUGCUGGGCCAGGGCCCCGACCCUCCCUCGGCCCUCACCAGGGCCCUUCUCCCCCCAACCCCCAGACCCCCGCGGGGUUCCCACGCCCGAGCCCGAGGGCCGCGCGGAGCCGGGGCGCCGUGACCGCUCCCCGCCCUGACGCUGGCGGCCGCCUUCUUUGUUUCAGGUAUUGAUUUGAUUGGGCUGUGACAAGUGUGUUACUCUA
rnacentral:lncRNA from 1 species